CAAAUCCAACAUGUCUGCAUAGCUCGUUUGCUUAUCCAUGUUUGGAACAAGCUCUUGCAGUUUCUUCAAUCUCCCACUUAUUCUGGUUCUUCUCUCCUGGGUAUGAACACAAAACACAAUGACGGGUUACAACAAAAACAACAAAAAAAAUCCUCUUUUGCAGUUCACCUAACAAAAGGAACAUAUUCCUCUUAACUUCUAUGUAGAGUAACCAGUAGAUAACCUGAUUAUGAAAUGAAUGAACAAUAGCACUGAACUAGUUCAGCUGCUCAGCUGCACUGAUAUGUACCACCAUACUUUUGCAAUCUUCUGCUUUAUAAAUGAACACUUAUUACUACAAACAUGUAUGCAUGUUAGGUCUUUUUUUCAGGUCCUCUUACAAAAUACACUACAAGUGAUUCCUCUGUUUUAGGCUUAGCCAUUGCUACUGUCAACUCUCCAGCUCACAAUACACAUAUCGUUGCCUUGUGUGCGUAUAACAAUCCAUCUUUUGUACAAUGCAGACAAAUUGUCUCAACACAGUAGUGAAGAUCUUAAAGUAUAGCUUGACCAUCAAUAUGAACAUGAUCUAACAUUGAUUUUGGUGCAGCACACCUUCCAUUGGCUCCUUCAGCACAAUCAAUUCCAGCGAGUUGGGUCCACUCGCAAAUCCCAUCAGGAUGACUAGUUGAAUACCCCACUAUUCUCUACCUUCUUCUUCCCUAAUCGUUUCGUCAAUUUUUUUUCUUUCACCAUAUAUAUCCUCCCCAUGUUGACUGCUCUUCUAAUUCUUAUAGAAUCUUUGAUUUUUCAGGUACUUCACCCACUAGCCUUAGUCUCACCUUCUUCUUUUAACCCAUUUGGAGCUCCCAAUAAUUUAAAAGCAUGAGGCUUUCAUUCAAAAGAACCUGUAAUGAAUGUGUUCCUAUGCGAAUCAAAUAUCCAAUUAGAAACUAAAUCUAACUCUAUAACACACAAUGAAUAAGCAUGCGCCUAAAAAUUGUCUUGGCUUCAAAAUAGGAGGCCUCCUUUAAUAGACAAAUGUGUGGAAAGGCGAAGGAAAAGAACAACACAUCAAUGCAGAAAUGUACAAGAAGUGUUCUACAUGGUCUGGUGUGUUAUAGAAACCGCAUACUUCAACUAUUACAUUAAGUAGAAUAUGAAUUCAUUCUGUAUGAAGCAUUAUGACUAAUCAAUCAUGCAGCAUCCAUUCUAAUUGAUAACAUCAUGAAGUACUUUGUGCAACAUCCAUAUUACCAAGUAUGAGCAACAGACAUUCACUAGAGACAGGUAAUUGUAAUAUCUGCCAAAAGUCAAUAAACAAAUACAGAGAGAGAACAGACAAAUUUUCUUUUUGAAAAGAAAGAACUACAAAGAAUAUGCUCCUUCAACAUGUUAGUAUGUAAUGAUUAAAGCCAAAAUAUACAGCUUGAAGAACGAUCGUGCAUGUUACUUAUUGGUUUAUGCAUUACUCAUUCAGAAGAGUUGCAUGCUUUUGAAAACAUUUUAAUAACUUGAAACUUAAACAACACUUUUAAUAAAGAUGGCAGCCCCAAUUAGAAAACCUUAUAAAGCAGGCCUCAUUUGCUUUAUGCACAUGAAUCAAAGUAGAUAGGAUUUUGUGUUCAGAUAUUCCAAAAGCAGAACUGACAAAUGGUCAUUCAUGCAAAAUGAAGUUUAGAAAAAACCUUCAUGAAAUAUUAGGUUAUAUAUGUGCCAGAGCGAAUUUACUAACCCUUUCAGCAAUACUUCGUGGGUGAGUGGCACAGCCACGCUUGGCGCGGAUUUUGCAUGGCACAGAGUCUUCAGGAAUAUUUAGUAGCUUCUCCACUGUUGCCAUCUCAAGACUAGUUUGAGGCAAGCUAAACUGAAUGAAGAAUGAGUCAGAGAUCUAUACCAGCAAAAGAGUUACUGAACAAUAACCUUGGGUCAAUUUUUAAGCCUGUCAGCAUCACCAGAUUGCUCCAUUAAUAGAAACUACUACAGAGUGAAAAUGUAAUGCUCUUCACAAGUGAUUAGAAAUACAGAACAAAAUAAAAUGCUAGAAAUUGGGAAUGCACCAAGUUACUUGAAAUGAAACAAAAUGGAAUUUAAAGAUUACAUUACUGCAUGAAUUUGCAGUCUCCAUGAGCCCAUUCACAUAUUUGUUACAUUAAAAAAAUUGAGGGGUAUAAAUUGUGAAGAGCAAGUCUUUUUUGUAUGCAUAUUAAUUAGAUUUAGAUGCUAUAAAACAUCAGAAGUUAUGUACUCUUCCUUGAGUUUCCUGAUGCAUGCAAGUCCUCGGGGGAAGUUCUACUACCUGAGUUUCUAAGCCAUUGAGACAGUUAAAAAUGUCUCCAUCAAUGUUCUUUGCUAGUUUGCUUGGUGGACCAGAAAAUACAAUGGAAUUGGUAUUGUCCCAGGAUCCUAUCCCAAAGCUAGCAGCAGAAUAAGAAUGAGAAGAACUCUGGUGGCCAUUGUUGGAGUUGACGCCUUCAGCAACAUUCUCACUAACUUCAGAUAUCUGAGAAAGAGAAUCUUGUCCGGUAAAGCUCAACUGAGACUUCAACCUUGACACCGUGUGGUCACCAGUUGAGCCAUUGUGAGAGUUAUGCCCUCCACUUCCUGGUGUAAUUGAAAAACCAGUUUCGGCAGAAAGAUGGGACUGAAAACCAGCGGGCGAGCUUUUCUGCCUGACCAAAGAACUACUAAUCUCAUUGAACCCAUACGAUCUCUGCAACCCACCACUGGCGCUGCUCUUAGGCGGCGGCCUUGGAUCGCUGGAUGAGUUGACUUUGCAAGUUGACUCUGAGGUGAGCGAGGACGAGUCACCAGAGAAGUACUGAUGACUCACUAACGAAGGCGAAGAAGAACCCAAGGCAGAGAAUUCACGGUCAGACCCAAUGACGGAAUCGACAGCCCUGGUUAAAAACGAACCUGGGGCUGAACCAUACCUGGUUAUAGCAGUCGGGACCGUUGUGUUCUGAGGAGAGGAAGAUGGUGGGUACAUAGAAUUGAAUUUGUCGGGUUUGCGCCAAUGGUGUUGAGCCAUUGCUACAA
rnacentral:misc_RNA from 1 species